AACAGUGUGUCAUAGUGGUUUGAGUGUUUGACUACAACUCUGGUGUCCAGGGUUCGAUUCCCUUCCUGGCUA